GAGCUCGCGAAAGAAGGUGGAACGUAAGGGAGACACCAUUUCCAAAACAGAAAGCAACCAUGUAAUGCCUCAGGAGUCUGUGGAGGGGACGAAGACGCGUUCUGCUGCACUUAACAGAGCUCAAGACCAACGGGACGCCAUCAGACGCCACGUCAACCCCUCAGGAGCAAAUCCAGAUCUACGCAUGACAUACACUUAGAUACACUUUAUUAGAUGUACACAAAGACAUAACAAUUAGAUGUACACACAGACACUAACAAUUAGAUCCACACACAGACACACUAACAAUUAGAUGUACACACAGACACACUAACAUUUGGUUCUAAACAAAGACACACACUAACAUUUAGAUGUACACAAAGACACAUUAAUAUUUAGAUGUACACACAGACACACUAACAAUUAGAUCUACACACAGACACACUAACAAUUAGAUGUACACACGGACACACUAACAAUUAGAUCUACACACAGACACACUAACAAUUAGAUGUACACACUGACACGUGCUGAUGACCAUCCUCACGUCUCUUCUCCUUGUCUGCAGACCAACAGGACGCCAUCAGGACGCCACGUCAUCAGGACACCAUCAGGACGCCACGUCAUCGGGACGCCAUCAGGAUUCCAUCAGGACGCCAUCAGGACGCCGCGUCAACCCCUCAGGAGCAAAUCCAGAUCUACUCAUGACACACACACACACACACACACACACACACACACACAGAUGUACUCAGAGACACACUAACAUUUAGACACGCUGGCAAAUUUAGAUGUACAAUUAGAUGUACACACAGACACACUAUCAUUUGGUUCUAAACAAAGACACACACUAAUAUUUAGAUGUACACAAAGACACAAUAACAAUUAGAUGUACACACAGACACACUAUCAUUUGGUUCUAAACAAUGACACACACUAAUAUUUAGAUGUACACAAAGACAUAUUAAUAUUUAGAUGUACACACAGACACACUACCAUUUGGUUCUAAACAAAGACACUAAUAUUUAAAUGUGCACAAAGACAUAUUAAUAUUUAGAUGUACACACAGACACACUAACAUUUAGAUGUACACACAGACACACUAACAAUUAGAUGUACACACAGACACACUCAUUUGGUUCUAAACAAAGACACACACUAAUAUUUAGAUGUACACAAAGACACAAUAACAAUUAGAUGUACGCACAGACACACUAACAAUUCGAUCUACACACAGACACACUAACAAUUCGAUGUACACACAGACACACUAACAUUUGGUUCUAAACAAAGACACACACUAAAAUGUAGAUGUACACAAAGACACAUUAAUAUUUAGAUGUACACACAGACACACUAACAAUUAGAUGUACACACAGACACACUAACAUUUGGUUCUAAACAAAGACACACACUAAUAUUUAGAUGUACACAAAGACACAUUAAUAUUUAGAUGUACACACAGACACACUAACAAUUAGAUGUACACACAGACACACUAACAUUUGGUUCUAAACAAAGACACACACUAAUAUUUAGAUGUACACAAAGACAAUAACAAUUAGAUGUACGCACAGACACACUAACAAUUAGAUCCACACACAGACACACUAACAAUUAGAUGUACACACAGACACACUAACAUUUGGUUCUAAACAAAGACACACACUAAUAUUUAGAUGUACACAAAGACAAUAACAAUUAGAUCCACACACAGACACACUAACAAUUAGAUGUACACACAGACACACUAACAUUUGGUUCUAAACAAAGACACACACUAACAUUUAGAUCUACACACAGACACACUAACAAUUAGAUGUACACACAGACACAUCCUGAUGAUCCUCCUCACGUCUCUUCUCCUUGUCUGCAGACCAACAGGACGCCAUCAGGACGCCACGUCAUCGGGACGCCAUCAGGACACCACGUCAUCGGGAUGCCAUCAGGACACCACGUCAUCGGGACGUCAUCGGGACGCCAUCAGGACGCCUAACAAUUAGAUGUACACACAGACACACUAUCAUUUGGUUCUAAACAAUGACACACACUAAUAUUUAGAUGUACACAAAGACACAAUAACAAUUAGAUGUACACACAGACACACUAUCAUUUGGUUCUAAACAAUGACACACUAAUAUUUAGAUGUACACAAAGACACAAUAACAAUUAGAUAUACACACAGACACACUAUCAUUUGGUUCUAAACAAAGACACACACUAAUAUUUAGAUGUACACAAAGACACAAUAACAAUUAGAUGUACACACGGACACAUCCUGAUGAUCCUCCUCACGUCUCUUCUCCUUGUCUGCAGACCAACAGGACGCCAUCAGGACGCCACGUCAUCGGGACACACUAACAUUUAGAUGUACACACAGACACACUAACAUUUGGUACUAAACAAAGACACACACUAAUAUUUAGAUGUACACAAAGACAUAAUAAUAUUUAGAUGUACACACAGACACACUAACAUUUAGAUGUACACACAGACACACUAACAAUUAGAUGUACACACAGACACACUAACAACAUUAACAUGUUAAUAACUUUUCUUCUUUUCUCUCUUCUCAGGAACUGCUUCAGAUGUUUUCCCAAUGAUUGUGUUAUUAUUAUUGUUAAAUAUGUCGUCUG
ensembl:lncRNA